UUGACUACUCUAGAUACCUCAUGUAAGUUGAAUCAUACAGUAUUUGUCUUUUUGUUUCUUUGGUGUGUUUUCCAAGCUUAAUUGAAACUUAAUUAGGAUGAAGCCAAGUUACCCCCCAUCAUUUAUCGUCUAUCUAUUCAGUACAACCCACUGUGCUAAUUUAAUAUUAUUAACCUUAUGAGGUAGGUUAUGCGCACUUUACAGAUGAGGAAACUGAGACUUCGUGAGGUGAAACAUCUUGUCAAUGGUCAUAAAUCUAAUAAGCAGUGGGGCUGCUGAUUGCAACUUUAUCUAACUUCAAAACACAGUCUCUUAAACAUACCUGUAUACUUUUUGAAAUAUUUAAACUUUUUAGGGAAUUUCAGCCAUCUACAUAUUUUAAGCAACUCAGAGUGUUUUGUUUUGUUUUUUGCCUUUGAUGGUUAAUGCCACAUGGGUUCCUGCUUUUUAAAAAUAAACUACUUUAUUCUAAACCAUGUCUCAAGAUAUUAUUCUAUUCUAUGUCAUGAGGUUUAUUCUAACACAUGUCCCAUAAGCCCACAGAAUAACAGUUACCUUCCCUGUAUUUAAAAGCAAGACUUGAUCUAAGCAGUUGGUUUGUUAAAUUUUUCUGGAAAUGAUACAACUUCCUAGUGUGUAGCACAUAUCAAUAGUGAAAGGAAUAUUAUUUUUUAAAAAGCAGCACUUACAUUUGUGGAAGUGAGCCCCAGCUUCUUCAGUUCAGACACAUGGUUUUAGUGAAUAGAAGUCACUCUACCAAAACCGGGUACUCUUCAAACACGCCUUGCUCCAUAUGCAGGCAGGCGACUGCACCCCUGCUUCCUGAGCCACCUGGGACUUGAAGUUCUACCGGUGUGGCUCCAAGGCUGCCCAACCAGAAACCCCAAAAGGUAAGAGAACUACGAUACCCACAAUUCAGGCUCCUCACCCGAAACCAGAAGAGGGCGUACGGCUAGAGUUUCACCCAAAGAAGAAAGGGGAAGCAGGUGGAAAAGCAAUUAAAAAAAAAAAAUCAGCAUCUCUCUCUAGCCUAUUAUUUCCUGUUAGACACAGCCCAGAAAACGAAUAGAGACAAGUCCUGGCUGGGUCUGGGUUCAGAAACAUAAUAGAAGGAUUCAUCUAAACUGUCAGCCACUGUGGAGGAAGUGAACCUUCUAGAUCCUGCUGACUUAUACAAUGAGUUUUGUGUCGAACAUCAGACAAAAAGGCUGGCUGGUGAAGGUGGCUGUUGUCUGGAAAGUCCUCCCAGCUCUCCUCUAAUUAUGUCAUAAGGACUGGAGGCCCCUUAGCCUGCUUGUGAUAACACGCAAGGAAAUAUGGGCCAACUCUUCACAUGAGCACAAGAUAUUUCCAUGCUAGCCUUUUGCAAGUAACAGCAGAGACAGCUCUGUGCCGUUUUCACUGGAAUGCCUAUCAAUUACUUGAGUCAUAAUUGUAAUCUAAAGACUUGUCCAUUUGUUGACUCUUUUGUAUUUGUAUUGGUAGAACUGCCACUAUCAAAACCAAGAUCACUCUUUGGGAAGAUCUUUAGCUGUCUUUAUAUCAACUUCUCUGGAGUUUAUGUGAUUUUCCAGAAAAUUCCCAAAGCAUAGUUUUGUCCCUAAGUCCCAUGAAUAUGUAAUAUUUUGUGUCUCUCUAUUAAAAUAGCACUUUUUGUGCAUUCAAUUAACCAA